UUUGUUGAAUGAUUGGAGUGGGAUGGAUAUGGAGGAAACCAAGGAAUAUAUAGUGAACUGUCAGUCAUAUGAUGGGGGAUUUUGGUUGGUUCCUGGAUUAGAAUCUCAUGUGAUGAAGGUGGUGCAACAUAUUCUGCAGUCGUAGCUCUCCGUUUGAUGGGAUUUAUUGAAGAUGCCAUUUUGUCAAUAUCUUCUGUUAUUGAUGUGGAAUCGCUGUUAGAAUGGUGCUUGCAGAGGCAAGCAAUUGAUGGUGGAUUCCAAGGCCGUGUAAACAAGGCGACUUGACAAGUGCCAUUUGUGUUUGCACAGGAUUGGCGGCAUACUGAGAGUGUUGGGGGCUCAGAAUUUCUAUGACAACGCAGUGCUAAGAGAAAGUUCUGCUUACCUGUCAAUCUAAGGUGCUGUUGCAUCUCCUUGCUUACUUGUUCUGCUAGAUGUCAACAGGGCCUAGCUUUCACCCUUUAAGUUACUGGAAAGUGU